AGAAUUCUUCCAUCUCUAUGAGAACAAGCCCAUUUUAACUUUCUGGAGGAUAAAAUAGCAUGCUGAGGAAAGCCAAAGUGCGCCAGUUUACAGACAGCUCACUCCCAGAAGCAGAGCCACCUAAUUCACCAGCAUCUGACCACUCACACCUGAAGGAGCCAAACUGAGCCCAGAAGAAUGGCCCAGCUAAGCCCAGCCUAAAUUUCUAACCAGCUCAACCCUGAGCUAGUAUGUUUCAGGAUUGUUAUGCAGUUAUAGCUUAGUAAUAUAUACACCCAUUAAAGACAGGAUUCCAGGAUUCCAGGACAGAUUGAUUACAAAUAACCUGCAAAUGCUUGGCACCCUGUAAGUAUUGAUAUUGUGUUUCCUUUAUUUAAAGUUAAAUUUGUUGUAAGAUGGUAUUGACUUAUAUAGAAGUGAGGCAAGAGAAUAGGGUCUGGAGGCAGGGAACUUAAGGCCAAUUCGUGCUGAAUUCCUAAAGAAGAAACACCAAGGUCUGGGAGCAGGGAACCUAAGGCCAAUUAACGUGAACUUCCUACAUCUAAACCAAAAGGAAAACCUGCCUUUUGCGCCAGCGUGAGCUCGGUUAGGGUCUCCACGGCCGUGCUUUCACCCCUCAGGGAGGCGUCGGUGAUUCGGUCACAGCCUCAGCCUCCGUCGCUCUGUGACCUGCGGGUAUUGGAUGAUUCGUAGCUGAGACUCCGCUACACCCCUGAAGUGGGGAAAUG
rnacentral:lncRNA from 10 species